CGAGUGGCGGACGGGUGAGUAAUGUCUGGGAAACUGCCUGGUGGAGGGGGGUAACUACUGGAAACGGUAGCUAAUACCGCAUAACGUCGCAAGACCAAAGAGGGGGACCUUAGGGCCUCUUGCCAUCGGAUGUGCCCAGAUGGGAUUAGCUAGUAGGUGGGGUAACGGCUCACCUAGGCGACGAUCCCUAGCUGGUCUGAGAGGAUGACCAGCCACACUGGAACUGAGACACGGUCCAG
rnacentral:rRNA from 1 species